GCGCUCCAAAUAGUCUUAACUGUGAGAGGUCCCUGGGGAAUUGGGGCGAUUCGUGAUUGGUCGAAGGGGUUUUCGGGACUGUGACGCGUUCGUGCUGCUCUGAUCGCGACGCGACUAAUCUUAUUCGAUGUAGAAUGACUUUUUACAUAGGUAAUGACUAAAUUUUUUAACUAUUAACGAAAAUAACGAGAGAUUGGGAGCAAAAAGGGGAAAAAAAGGGGAAACUUCUAAAAUAGAGGAAAAAAAUGUCUUCUAAAAUUAGAGGAUGCAACCACCGCUAAACAAAAGAAGAACUUUCCGUUUAACCGAAAAGACUAAAUUUGCAUUACGUUAUUUGUGGUUCGCGAGAUAUUUGACCAAGAAAAAGACACCCAGAUUGACUUUGAGUUGAUUGUUUGUUGACUAGCAGACGACGAUAACUUUUAUCGGUGUGGCGUGUGGGUACUGGCUACUGGGGCGACUGGGUAUUCAUUGGAAUUCAUCGAUCUAAUGAUUCUAAUAAGAAAAAAAAACCAUGCCUCCAGUGUCACAACUGAUUAUUCCUUUACCCAUCAAAUGCCAGAUUGGCACAUAGUUCAAAUGUGGGUGCUGAAUGAACUGGUAAACAUAAAAAAUGGAAUUGACAAUAGAUUACAUUUAUCAUCAGACAUCUCUCCCUUUCCUAUGUCUUGAAGAUGACGACAAGUUGCCAGUUGAUUUACAUGUCACCUUUACUGAUAUCCUAGCACACCAUACUUUAUUUGGCAUAAAAAAAAGGUUUCCCUUCUGGGUUUCCCUCAUUUAAAAGGCCUUGAUGAUGUAAUGGUGCUAUGCCAAAAUUUUAUCAACGUAGAGAAAUUAAAGCUGCAGCUGUGGGAAAUGGAAUUGACAAUUACAUUCAUCACAGACACAUUUCAGUUUCAGAAAGUGGAGUUUUGUCUUGAAGAUGACAAAAGUUGCCCGUUGAUUUACAUGUCACCUUAAGUGAUGUCAUAGCAGCUACUUGUCAUUUAAAUAGUUUGUUACCAUACUUUAUUUGACAUGAUUGUUUUAUAGAGUUAUUUCAUUUUGGUUUUUUUUCAGGCAUACUUCAAUUUCAGAAAAUUUUGUCUUGAAGAUGACAAGUUGCCAGUCAAUAUACAUAAAACCCUAAGUGAUAUCAUAACAGGAACUUGUCGCCCGGAAGUAUUUGAGACUUGACCAACAUGGACGACGUGCCCUGGGAGAACCUUCAACACGCACUCGCCCUCCUUGCGUUCCCUUCUGACACUCGGGUAUCACCACACAAGGAGUUGCUCGAUGCGUCGAGGUGGAAUGCCUCGAUUGAAAAAUUUCGUCAAGACUAUUUCCGCCUCUAUCAGUUGGCUCCAUUGUCUGUGUUGGCUGUUGCGUUGCAAGCUGGUCUCUCCACAAUGAAAACUCCGCAAUGUUAUCGCCCAAUGGAUCAGAGGAAUGUUGAAUGUCCCAUGUGCCAAGAACUAUUGAACAAGUUUGCUGAACGAUUACUCACGCUCAUUGCUCACAAUCAAGAUAGAUCUGUCGCUUUUCGGGCUUAUCUCUUAACGAACAUAACUUACCUAUGAUGCUACCCAACGGUCGUGUGUACGGAGAGCAGACAUUUAUCAGUUUUCGUGCACAAGUUCAACCAUAUUGUGUUUGUUUUUGAAUCAAUAGGCCUUGCGGACUAUACCUGUGCUCGCAGCAAAGAAGUCUUCGCUGUCAAAGAUGUAGAGAAAGUUUAUGUUAUGUAGUGUUUUUUAUGUACUUAGUAAUACAUUAUUUUCGUGAA